GACAGAGGCCUCAAGCGUUAGGCGGAAUCACUGGGCUUAAAGCGUGUGUAGGCGGACGCCUAAGUGUCUUGUGAAAUCCCCCGGCUCACCCGGGGAACUGCUGGGCACUACUGGGCGUCUUGGGCCAACUAGGGGCAACUGGAACAAGCGGUGGAGCGGUGAAAUGCGUAGAUAUCGCUUGGAACGCCGAAGGUGAAAACAGGUUGCUGGGGUUGUGCCGACGCGUGAGACACGAAAGCCAGGGGAGCAAACGGG
rnacentral:rRNA from 1 species